rnacentral:rRNA from 1 species
ACAACUUUUAACGGUGGAUCUCUUGGCUCGUGCAUCGAUGAAGAACGCAGCCAGGUGCGAUAAGUAGUGUGAAUUGCAGAAUUCAGUGAAUCAUCGAAUCUUUGAA